rnacentral:RNase_P_RNA from 1 species
GUGAAACGGUGCGGCAAGAGCGCACCGCGCCCCCGGCAACGGGGGCGGCACGGCAAACCCCACCGGGAGCAAGACCGAAUAGGGGCGGCCGGCGAGCGGUCCUCGGGCUUCGGCCCGACAUCGCCGACGCAGGGGCAUUCCCGCCUCGUCGCCCGGGUUGGUCGCGCGAGGCGCGCAGUAAUGCGCGUCCCAGAGGAAUGGUCGCCCCGCGCCGGCAACGGUGCGGACAGAACCCGGCUUACAGGCCGUCUGGCGCG